AUGAACNAGGGGAAGACUCACAUAGAGGCAGCAGUAGAGAAUCUUGUGCCAUAAACGAAAGUAUGACACAGAGAGGACACAUUUAAUUGAGCCCGUCAAAUUAAGUGCCAGCCGACGCGGUUAAACUUAAGGGCUGGUCUUUAUAAGUAAAAAGGCGUAAAGGAUGUGUAGGCCAAGAAACGAUCCAAGUAGGUAAAUGGAAUUUUUCUGGAGCGGUAGAAUGUGAGGAUAGAAAAUAGAACCCCUAAGGUAAAAACUAUUUACUACAAGGUAGGCUGAAACAUGAGAGUGUGGGGAGCAAACAGGAUUAGAGACCCUGGUAGUCCACACUGUGAACUUUGAAGAUGAUGCUUAGCAGACCCGAAAGGUAAAAUCUUCCGCCUGAGUAGUACGAUCGCAAGAUUAAAAUUCAAAAACUUUGGCUGUUCACUAUUUCGAUUAGAGGAGCGUGUAGUUUAAUUCGAUGGUCCGCGUGUUACCUUACCCCAACUUGAAUCUGUGACCGGUAUUGCAUGGCCGUCGUAAGUUCGUGUAUUAAGCUAGAAGGGACCCAACCCGGGCAUUUGCCCGGAGGAAGUCAGGUCUUAUGAUCCGAAUGUUGGGGGAUUUUAUGCGCUACAUUUUCUUAUAUAAUGAGAAACCUGGAAGGUGAGUCUCUAAAGUAAGAGUUCGGAAGGUCGCUGUAAGACGACUGGAAGUUGGAUUUAAUAGUAAUCGGAAAGUAGGGCGUUCCGGUGAAUUGGUACAAGUGUUAGCACAAAUUGCCCGUCACCUUUACUUAGAAUGGUUAUUCGGAUGUCUUCGGUGAUUAUGAAUGCCUACGAGGUAAAGCAAGUCGUAACAUAG
rnacentral:rRNA from 1 species